GAUGAAGAACGUAGCGAAAUGCGAUACUUGGUGUGAAUUGCAGAAUCCCGCGAAUCAUCGAGUUUUUGAACGCAAGUUGCGCCCGAAGCCAUUCGGCCGAGGGCACGUCUGCCUGGGUGUCACGCAUCGUUGCCCCCCCAAACUCCGGUUCGGGCGGGGCGGAAGUUGGCCUCCCGUGCGUGCCUGCGCGCGCGGUUAGCCCAAAAGCGAGUCCUCGGCGACGAGCGCCACGACAAUCGGUGGUUGACAAACCCUCGUGUCCCGUCGUGCGUGCCUUGUCGCUCAUCUCGUGCUCUGUGACCCUAUAGUGUUGCGCUUGCGACUCUUCCAACGCGACCCCAGGUCAGGCGGGACUACCCGCUGAAUUUAAGCAUAUCAAUAAGCGGAGGA
rnacentral:misc_RNA from 1 species